GCCAUCUGCUGCGACCAGGCACAACAAGAGGGGGAAAAGACUAGAAACAGAAGCACUAAAAACAAAAAAUAACCACAAUAACUGCUGUGAAAAUCAGCCAGAUCCAGAAAACCAUGAAGAAAAUUUACAGCCCACGUGCAGUUUAACAUUUGAACUGUACGUUUUUAUCAGGUAUGUACGCGUUUGAAUUUUGACCUAUAGCCGGUAAUAAUUAAUUUUCGCUUCUUUUCUGACGGAGUGAAAAAAAAAUGUCCGCUUGGUUCCACUGGGGCUCGAACCCAGGACCUUCUGCGUGUAAAGCAGACGUGAUAACCGCUACACUAUGGAACCAACUGGCUUCGCGAGCGCCUGGACUCGGCAUAUAACAUGACGCCAGACGAAUGCGCAGUUACGCGUGUAUUGCAGAGCGCGGUUGUUUGUGACAACGUUUGGGAAUGACAGAGCGGAAAGUCACGGUGUCCUCCACGCUGCCGCUGCGCUGCCUCAGUCCCAGCUCGCUCGCCUGCUUACUUUCGGCUGCCCCUGUUUACGUCCAGUUGAGGGUCGAUUCGUGUUGGGACGGUUAGCUUUUGUCUCUGAUCACCCUGGGCUGCAGCUUGUGAACUAUAAACACGGAGUGGAGCGAAUCCCCUUAAUUUGUCCCUAUUUCUUUUCUCGUCUUCCGCCGACUCGCACGGGCAGCUAGUCGAGAUUAGCGUCCGGAACAAAGCUGUUUUUGCGUGUCCUGCUGGUAUGGUGCGUGAUUAGUGUGUGGACGGUCAAACUGAAGGAAAUGGCUCGCUGCUGCUGCUGCUGCACCUCGCCAGCUUAUGAUGUCAUGUGAAUGUGGGACACUGAUGUGUUGUGUGAAAAAUACGGACAUGUCGCGGAGAUAAAGAUCGCAUAUUUAGCAGGAACAUUUACAGUGAUCAAGUUUGACAGAAAGAGUCUUAUUCGCAGUGAAGAAAUGUACAUCCGCCCAUCAUCACUAUGAAUGCCAUGUUAAUUUGGAUCUGUUAAUCAGCUGGUCUUUCUCAGGGUGGAAUGAUUAUAUAACAAUCUACUUAAAAGACUAGAAAAAACCCAAUUAGGUUUAGAGUUUAGAUUUAUAUUAUAUUAUUUCUGAUCCACAUGUGGUCAAGUUCAACCAUCUAUGUUGUGGAGUUGCUGGGCCAGACUGGAGAAAGGGCUUACAGGGACAGUAGCAGAGGGCUCCGAUUUUUGAGAGGGACACAAGGAUUUUUAUUUCCUUAUUUUUCUUUUUUAGUUCUAUUAAUAUUUUGUUAUUUUUAUGAAUAUAGAUAGUGUAUUGACGUAUUGGAUAAUUCUGAAGUAACAGUCAAUUUCUUUGGGAACAACAUGGAGUUAUUGUCCCACAAGUCUGAACCGGAAGUGAGCCACGCCACUUAACCGCCAUCUUGGUAGGCAAGCGAAACGCAAAGCAUAGAUAAGCUUUGGCUUUGAGACCAGCAAAAUUAAAGAAGAGUACUCAAAAAUUUAGUAAUCGAGUAAUAGUUGUAAUGUACUUAUAUUGUUUAUAAAUGAGAUGGAACUAGGCGAGGGCUAGCUCUAAGAUUGUGUCUUGUUUAUUGUUGUCAUAGCAACUCCAUAGCAACUGUCAUGACAGUUAGUUACAGAUACCUACCAAGAUGGCUUCCAGCUACAAAGUUCCUGAAAGUGUGAUGUCACAUGAAAAGUAUGUAUUAAUUUACUGUAAUUUACUUUAAUAGAAUAUAUUUUCCUUAGUGGAUAGGGCACCAAAACUGGCCCCAGCCCAGGGGCCCACAUCCUUCUAAAUCCAGCCCUGGGUGCAUAUAUACAUGUGUAAACUAGAACCCACAUGUUUUUUUGCUGCCACAAACAAGUUUCUGCCAUAACUGACAGGAUAAAUAAGCACCCUUCUCAGAAAUGGCAGAGCUCAUUUUUAUUUAUUUGUUUUAUUUAAAAAAAAUAAAACAAGGAAAGAUUAAAAAGUAAUCUGGCCUGACUCAGAACAAAUACAAUUUUCCAGCAGGUUCCUGCUCUGCAGAACAUGCAAGCACAAACAUACAUCACUGCCAUCACAUCAACUAACACCAAACUGUACAAUCACAGAUAAACUCAAUAGAGUGAAGCAGCAGCAGCAGAAAGCCACAUCUUAGUGGCUACAGGCUACAGCAGUAUUUGUUGCCUCCUUAAAAUAAUCUUAAAAUAAUCUUCAAAUGCAUUUUUAUUUAAUUUUUUCAGUGUCAACAAGGCUUAAUUUGGCCUUGUUUGUUUUAAUUGCUUUCAUUGCAUUUAAUUGAUCUUCAGUCAUAUUUUUGUUUUUCUGUCUUUUAAGGCAUAUUUAUAGUUUGGAGUUAAGUACAGUGCUCUGUUUCUGGUUAAACGCCAAGUAUUUUGUGAGUGCAAUUUUUUCCAAAUAGUCAAAUUUUAUCUUUGUUGAAAGCAAAAAUGUAAUGUAUUAUCCCUCUUUUAGCCAGCUGACAGGCAGUACACAUGUGUGGAGGAGGUAGCGCAUGUUUUUUGUGACAUGAAUGUUCAAUAAACUCUUGUGACUCCA